rnacentral:lncRNA from 1 species
CCGUGAAUUAUUUUAUUUGUUGUUUUGUUGAUCUGCAUCAAUAUAUCAAAUAUUUUAUUUUGAGUGGUUACCUAUUUUGAUAUAUACUACUGUAUUUUUAUAACUUAUAUUGUCAUUAAAUUUAUAUUAAAUUCAUUAGCAUGUCAAAGUCUUGCAUACUUAUAGGACCGAUAUUUGUAAGUGCUCAGUAGCGAUCAUGUCCUCUGAAUCUUGUUUUUGGAUCAGGGGUGUGAUAGGCUCGUUGUUUGGUGACUAUAAAUAAAGAAGUUUCUUGCCCUGUGAUUGUACAUACUUGUGCUUAGGGUUGGCAGCGACUUUAUAUCCAUUC